UCUCUCGCGCUCGUUCUCUCUCGCUCUGGUUCACUCUCGUUCUCUCUCGCUCUGGUUCACUCUCUCUCUCUCUCUCUCCGUUUUCUCUUGCGUGAUGUCGUAUUUCGUCUACAUUAACGGUCACCUCCAUGGAGCUUGCUGGCUGGUGCAGUUGACGACGAGGAGGAUGAUAAUGACAUAAACAACGACAAUGGCGAUUGUGGAGGUUAAUUGUCUGCUCCGGCUCCGGCUCUGGCUUCGGCUCCCACCAGCGACAGUGACAUAAACAACGACAAUGGCGAUUGUGGAGGUUAAUCGUCUGCUCCGGCUCCGGCUCUGGCUUCGGCUCCCACCAGCGACAGGGCAACGAUUGCAUGCCUGUUGAUGUUUGUGGCUUUGGUAUUGACAUACCUAAUUCACUGAAGAGAGAUUAUUUGAAUUUGGGUUGGGUUAUAUGUUCUGUGAUUUAUUCAUGAAAUUGGGGCAAAAUUUAUGGAUUUACAUACCAAUUAGUGUUCUGAUUUAGACAAUUUUUUGAUUGUAUUGUUGAGGAUUCUAUUCUGUUUGGUCACUGUAAAAAAUAUUGUUGUAAUAUUUAUAUUUAAUAUUAUUUUUUGUAUUUUUUUCUGAA